UACGAAGGGGGCAAGCGUUGUCCGGAAUCAUUGGGCGUAAAGCGCGUGUAGGCGGCUCGAUAAGUCUGCUGUGAAAGUUCAGGGCUCAACCCUGAAAUGCCGGUGGAAACUGUCGAGCUAGAGUACGGAAGAGGCGAGUGGAAUUCCUGGUGUAGCGGUGAAAUGCGCAGAUAUCAGGAGGAACACCAAUGGCGAAGGCAGCUCGCUGGGACGUUACUGACGCUGAGACGCGAAAGCUAGGGGAGCAAACAGG
rnacentral:rRNA from 1 species